AUCUCGCAACUUUUGCAAAUUUUCCCAUUUUUCAUAUUCAAUUUUCAGUGUUUCUUGGCAAAGAACACUGAAAAUUAAAUAUGAAAAAUGGGAAAAUUUGCAAAAGUUGCGA
rnacentral:pre_miRNA from 13 species